AUGGUCCAGGGAUUCUGCAGCUUCAUUGGCAUAGAUCGCAGCUACAAAUGCCGAGGAAGUGUCGGCUCGGCUCACAGUUUGGUGCUAGAAUGUUGUGGUCAGACACAUGACUACGCCACCUUCCAGUGUACGGAUAUGAGCCCUCACAAGAGGAAAGGCGAUGGCAUGCCAAAGGAAAGCAGUCCCUUCAUUAACAACACAGACCAUGACAAAGGAAACUAUAUGAUGGGAAGAACAUGGCCCUCUUCGAGGAAGAGAUGGACAGCAACCCCAUGGUGUCCUCGCUACUCAACAAGUUGGCCAACUACACCAAUCUCACUCAGGGGGUCAAAGAGCACGAGGAGGCAGACGAUGAGGAGGGGCCAGCCAGGAGUAAGAAACCAGUCAAGAGUCCCGCGUUGGGCACAUUAAUUGGGGUGUACCUGCCCUGCCUCCAAAACAUCCUGGGUGUCAUCCUGUUCCUGCGUCUCACCUGGAUCGUGGGAACCGCCGGCAUCAUGGAAUCCCUUGCCAUUGUGGUCAUGACCUGCUCCUGUACGAUGCUGACAGCCAUAUCAAUGAGUGCCAUCGCUACGAAUGGUGUAGUUCCAGCUGGAGGCUCCUACUACAUGAUCUCAAGGUCGCUGGGGCCAGAGUUCGGCGGGGCUGUGGGGCUCUGCUUCUACCUGGGGACCACCUUCGCUGGCUCCAUGUACAUCCUCGGUACUAUAGAGAUUCUGUUAACCUACAUUGUGCCUAGUGCGGCCAUCUUCAAGGCAGAGAAGAAGGAGAAUGAGCCGGAGGCACUGCUCAACAACAUGCGGGUGUACGGCACCUGCUGCCUCGCCCUCAUGUCCCUGGUGGUGUUUGUGGGGGUCAAGUACGUCAACAAGCUGGCCCUGGUCUUCCUGGCUUGUGUCAUCCUCUCCAUUCUGGCCAUCUACGCCGGAGUCAUCAAGACCGCCUUCGAACCGCCAGACUUCCCUAUUUGCCUGUUGGGGAACCGCACUUUGCAGAACCACAACUUUGACCAGUGUUUGAAGACGAUGGAGGUGGACAACGUGACAGUCACCACCAAGCUGUGGUCCCUGUUCUGUGACUCUCCGGACCUCAACGCCACCUGCAACGAAUACUUCACUCUCAACAACGUCACUGUGAUCCAGGGAAUCCCCGGCCUUACCAGCGGGGUCAUCAGAGACAACAUCUGGGGGGACUACGGUCCUAAAGGCAUGUUGGUAGAGAAUAAGCACCAGAUGUCGGAGCCGGCUGCAGACACCUCCCAGGAUAUAUACAUGCCCUACGUAGCCAAUGACAUCACCACCUUCUUCACCCUGCUGGUGGGCAUCUACUUCCCCUCCGUCACAGGAAUCAUGGCUGGAUCCAACAGGUCUGGUGAUCUCAGGGACGCCCAGAAGUCCAUCCCCAUAGGAACCAUCAUGGCCAUCGCCACCACCACCUUCAUCUACAUUAGUUCUGUCAUACUGUUUGGCGCCUGCAUCGAGGGGGUGGUGCUGAGAGACAAGUUUGGGGACUCUGUCAAAGGGAACCUGGUGAUUGGCAUCUUGGCUUGGCCCUCCCCCUGGGUGAUUGUGAUUGGCUCGUUUUUCUCAUGCUGUGGAGCAGGUCUACAGAGUCUCACUGGAGCCCCCCGGCUGCUGCAGGCCAUUGCACGGGACGGCAUCGUGCCAUUCCUACAGGUGUUUGGUCAUGGCAAGGCUAAUGGAGAGCCCACCUGGGCCCUGCUGUUGACUGGUGGGAUCUGUGAGAUCGGUAUCCUCAUCGCUUCUCUGGACGCUGUCGCCCCCAUCCUCUCCAUGUUCUUUUUGAUGUGCUACCUGUUUGUUAACCUGGCCUGUGCCCUCCAGACCCUGCUCUGCACCCCCAACUGGAGACCCCGCUUCAAGUUCUACCACUGGGCUCUGUCUUUCCUGGGCGCCAGUCUGUGUGUGUCCCUGAUGUUCAUCUCCUCCUGGUACUAUGCCCUGGUGGCCAUGCUCAUCGCUGGCUGUAUCUACAAGUACAUUGAAUACAGAGGGGCGGAGAAGGAGUGGGGGGACGGUAUCCGUGGUCUAUCGCUCAACGCUGCCCGCUACGCCCUCAUUCGCCUGGAGGAGGCACCGCCCCACACCAAGAACUGGAGGCCCCAGAUGCUGGUGCUAUUGAACCUGGAGUCUGACCACACGGUGAAACACCCACGCCUGCUCUCCUUCUGCACCCAGCUCAAAGCAGGGAAAGGCCUGACCAUCGUGGGCUCUGUGCUGCAGGGCACCUACAUGACCAAGGAGGACGAGGUCAAGAAGGCUGAGCAGAAUGUCAAGUCGUCGAUGGCGAUGGAGCGUACCAAGGGCUUCUGCCAUGUGGUGGCAUCGUCCAACCUCCGCGAUGGUUUCUCCCACCUCAUCCAGACGGCAGGCCUGGGAGGCAUGAAACACAACACAGUCCUCAUGGCCUGGCCCGGCACCUGGAAACAGUCGAAUGACCCUGUAUCCUGGAAGAACUUCAUAGAAACUGUGAGGGAGACCACGGCGGCAAAUCAGGCAUUACUGGUGGCCAAGAACGUGGACAGCUUCCCCACCAACACGGAUCGCUUGGGCGAGGGCACCAUAGACGUGUGGUGGAUCGUCCACGACGGAGGACUGCUCAUGCUGCUACCCUUCCUCCUCCGCCAGCACAAGGUCUGGAGGAAGUGUAAGAUGCGUAUCUUCACGGUGGCUAAUAUGGAUGACAACAGUAUUCAGAUGAAGAAGGACCUGCAGAUGUUCCUCUACCACCUCCGUCUGGACGCUGAGGUGGAGGUGGUGGAGAUGCACGACAGCGACAUCUCAGCCUUCACCUAUGAGAAGACCCUGGUGAUGGAGCAGCGCUCUCAGAUGCUGAAACAGAUGCAGCUGUCGCGGACGGAGAGGGAGAGAGAGAUUCAGAGUAUCACCGACACGUCUCGUAGCUCCAUCCGGAGGAAGAACCAGACCGGAGCCUCGGGCUCCGAAUCUGACCCCAGUCGAGAGCUGGAGGGCACACAGGAGGAUGAGGCCCAGCUGAUCCACGACAGAAACACGGCGUCCCAUGCCGCGCUCAAUGACAAGCCCGACACCGGCCCUGACCGAGUCCACAUGACGUGGACCAAGGAUAAGUUCCUCUCCGAGCGCAACCGCAACCGCUCCGAGGUCAACAUGGGUGUGCGCGACCUCUUCAACAUGAAGCCAGAGUGGGAGAGUCUGAACCAGUCCAACGUACGCCGGAUGCACACUGCGGUCAAGCUGAAUGAGGUGGUGGUAAACAGGUCACAAGGAGCCCACCUGGUCCUGCUCAACAUGCCGGGGCCGCCCAAGAACAGAGGGGGUGACGAGAACUACAUGGAGUUCCUGGAGGUUCUGCUUGAGGGUCUCAACCGGGUCCUCCUGGUCCGCGGGGGCGGCCGCGAGGUCAUCACUAUCUACUCUUAAACACUCAUUCCCACGAAAUGGCCACGGCAAUAGAUGGCAUUUUAGGGAGAAAUAAUCCUUUGGGUUGCUGUGGGAUUGUCGGAGGGGGGUGGGCAUGGUAUUGGACAGAGGACUUCUUGACCUCUGAAGGGACGACCAGUCAGGGUUGUGUGAUGUGAUAGCAUCGCCCUGAUUCGUGGAGAGCACAGGUGUCCUGGGGCCUGCCUAUCACGCCGAGCGACUGGAGGAUACAGCAUUCAUACACUUUAACUUUUUAAUUUGACACGUGUUGAUGUUUAUUGUUCAGAUUUUCUUAUUCUCUCCUCACUCUGUGUGUGUGUGUUGAGUUGUCAUGUAUGUUCAUGGUAAUUGUGUACCAUGGACCCUAGUCAUGUGUAAUGCACUAUGUAGGGAAUCAUCAUUUAGUUUGUCCUCAUUUUGGUUCAAAUUGAUGUCACCCGGCUGCCUCUAUAAGGUAUCUCUCAGCUCAGAAAUACAUCUCCUAUGAACCCUGAAAUAGAUUAAUAUUUCCUGGUCCAUCUAAUAUCGAUAUGAACCAAAUAGAAACAUUUUGCCUUGGAAUAUCAUGCUUCUGUGAAUCGUUGCAGUAUCCUAGAGUGGAUGGAGGUGGCAAGUCCAAAACAAAGCUUACUUUUAUUUCAAAUCUGUCCCACACAUCAAGUUGUUGCUAUAGCUUUCCUGAGCUCCGUUGUCCCUUGAUUAUUAAAGGUGGGGGGUCACAUUAGGAGCUCUUCCGUCCUACUGGUACACUCUUAUUCGUCUGAAUCUACUCACAGAGGAGUUCUGUCAACCUCACUUCCAAUUGAGGCAGUGAGGGGGUUUAGCUCAUAAGUGGAUGGGUCCACCAGUUUGGACUAGGGUUCAUUCAUUUAUUUCAAUUGUCAAGGGAUUAAUUGUUAAUGUUGCUUGUGCUAAUUGUCAGCUCGUUGUUGUUGAGUGCAGCACAAUGUCUGAAAGAGGUAUGUGUUUGUGGUGGGGGGCUUUGGCAUGGCCAAGGAUUUGGCUGUGCAAUAGAUUCUGUUGAUGUGGUGACCUUGCAGACAUCUCACUAAGCCCUGAGACAUUGAAGGUGGUCCACCUUGCCUGGGAGGUCUCCUAAAUGGACCCUGUGGUAUUGGCUCUGUAGCAUUGGUCAAAGCCCCCGAAGUACAGCCGUUGCAUUGGGAAGAUAGCCAUACUAUUGUAUUUAGCCCUUGUUGACUGUAUGGUACACACAGUACACCGCAUUACGCAUAUUUAUAUAAAGAUUCACAAAGUUGCGAUUUAUUGGAAAUUGUAUUCAAGGGUGCAGGGUAUGGAAAUUACUUUUUUGUUGUAAAGAUCCUAUGUUCAGGAGUGCUGGUUUAAAUUCACGUGUUGUUCCACAGCGUAACAAGUCUAGUACAACUGGGGUACUUCCCCUACCAGAGCCCUUUAGAUCUAUGCAUCAACAUACAGGACAAAUCAUGAGCUGGUUUGACACUACAGCUCAAUCUGACCGAAUCAUCAACUAAAAUAAUUGGUCAAUUGUCUUCGACCCUCAAUCAGAAACAAAAGGUUGUUGUUGGAGCCAUCUUGCCAAAUAGUGUGUCGUCCCCCCCCCCGGCCAAAUAGAUAUAGCAACGGACGCUAAUGGUUUAUAGGGGCACACUAUUUGGCAGAACCACUGUUUUGUCCGUUUUAGGUGUCAUUAGGGACAUCGUCAACACACAGCAUUUUGCUCCAUCUUUUUGAUUUACAGUACUGCAGUAUUUUCUGUUCACUGCAUAGUUUAGCUCUGCUAAUAGACGUCUUUAGGCUGGGGAUGCUAUCACAGGGGUUGGGUUAAAUGCAGAAGACACAUUUUUAAGUUGAAUACAUUCAGUUGUGUACAGCUGACUAGGUAUUUUCCUCCCUGUCUUUGUAAAUACAGUGACCACUACAUUCACAGGGUUGGGAUUUGUGAGUAUCACUCGUCUAUCGCAGGACACCAAACCAAAAUUCUGUACUGGAAUAGAAUAGACGGGAAGUGUCAUUAUGAAGUAGCUCUGAACCAUCACUGUUUUCUCUCUCUGGAGAUGAGCAUGUGUGGGGGGGGGGGGGUGUGUUACUGAAAACAUGCUAUCUCUUAGAGCAAUCAUAUAGGACAGAUGUGGGGGGCCAUAGGAUGAGUCCAUAGACAUCGGCUGAUCACACUGUUCAAUGUCAGGCUUUGUUCUCCUAUUAUCUGCAUGCUUAUUCUCUAGGUUUCAUGUCAGCUGACCCCGAUGAAUCAUUUUGACUUUGUAUAGGAAGAAGCGUGCCAAAUAGACUGAUGUGAAAGUCUGUUUGUCAAUGUCUGCCACAGUGCACGCGUUAACAGACGAAGGUGCUUUUAGGGCGGGGCAAGAUCACUUUAAUUUGUAAAUGCAUUAUAACCACUUAAUUAUUUUGAUUUGGAAACACAGAUUUACACACAUUUGAACACAAAUUAUUAGCUAUAAAAACAAGUUGCGUUUCUGGUUACAAAAUUGAAAAGGCACUCUCACAUCUGAGCUGUCUUUGUAGCAGGUGCAGGGUAACAGUUGAAUAAGAUGAGGGGGAAAUAAGAGAGCUCUGGCGAAGGCCUUGAGGACGAUACGUAAAGCUUAAUAAAGAGAGCAUUGAUACCAACGAGCAGUAUGCAGGUUCCUAGUUACAAAAUUACUUCCUUGUAGGCUGCAUAUUAACAGUGGAGGCAAUGGCAUCUGUGAUUUCUAGGGCACAUGAAGGCUACUUCUAUAGGCAACUGACACCAGAGAUAGGAAACUAUUGGGACAAAGGAAGGAACCAAUCCCCUAACUCCUGUAUAUAUACCUCCACAUUUUAUUUUGAACUUUUUGUUUGUAGCUGUGCAGUAUUUUGUAGCCAGAACAUUGUAUAUUUCAACAGUAUGUCUCAAUUAGUGUCUCUGUUUUUGUUGAGUCGACCAUCGGUUAGACAAUGUUGUGUCUAGUCAGUCAUAGUUUCUGUCUGUCCUUAACAGUUACGUUAUACCGGACUCUGUGACUUUUCAGGACUAGAGUCUUGUGAUUUUAAGGAGGGGUAGGGGUUAUAUGUCAAGACAUUUGCAGGUAUGUUUGUUUUUUUCCUAACCCAUGGGAAACACGACAUGGACAAAGUUUUUGAAGACCUCUGCUUGGACUCUGGUGGAGAUUUCGCAGAAAGGAUUUUAGAGGAACCAGUUGGAGAUCGGGUUAUGUUACUAAUAUGAUUUUAAGUUAAUUUAACAUGUUUUAUUAUUUUAAGGUUUCUAGUCCCCCAAAGAUCAAAUCUUUGAGUCUGAUAUGAAAUAUCACGUUGUUAGUAGUGUAAAAAAAACUUAAGAGGACACAAAGCUAAGGCUUCUGGGUAACUGUAUUGGACGUGUAAGCAGCAUAUGUUCCACCAUUUUGGUUCAAGUGACGAGAGAAUGUAUUUCGAGGUGAAUACCGUGGAUACCGUUGUCAAAGGAGAAUAAACUUGUUCGAAUCGC